rnacentral:misc_RNA from 1 species
UACGAACUGUGCGAACGUUAUUCGGAAUCACUGGGCUUAAAGGGUGCGUAGGCGGUUAUCUAAGUAGGGUGUGAAAUGCCCCGGCUCAACCGGGGAACUGCGCUCUAGACUGGGUAGCUUGAGUGAGAUAGAGGUGUGCGGAACUUCCGGUGGAGCGGUGAAAUGUGUUGAUAUCGGAGGGAACACCGUUGGCGAAAGCGGCACACUGGGUCUUAACUGACGCUGAGGCACGAAAGCCAGGGGAGCGAACGGG